rnacentral:lncRNA from 1 species
CAUAACGGUUCAUUCCAAAUCAAAUACAAUAGGUUUAACCCAACCCAAAACCCAAAGUCCACAAAUAAAAUUUCAAAAUCCAAAGUCCACAAAUAAAAUUUCAAAACCCAAAGUCCACAAAUAAAUCCCAAAACCCAAAGUCCACAAAUAAAAUGCCAAAACCCAAAGUCCACAAAUAAAACCAACGACCGCAAAGUCGUUAAACUAAACAACCAAAUCAAACGACCGCAAAGUCGUUAAACUAAACAAUCAAAUCAAAUGACCGCAAAGUCGUUAAACUAAACAACCCAAAUUCAAACGACCGAAAAGUCGCUAAACUAAACCCAAAUCGAAACGACCGAAAUGUCGCUAAACUAAACCCAUAUUCAAACGAUCGAAAAGUCGCUAAACUAAACCCGAAUCCAAACGACCGAAAUGUCGCUAAACUAAACCCAAAUUCAAACGACCGAAAUGUCGCUAAACUAAACCCAUAUUCAAACGACCGAAAAGUCGUUAAACUAAACCCAAAUUUCAAACGACCGAAAAGUCGUUAAACUAAAUCCAAAUUUCAAACGACCGAAAAGUCGUUAAACCAAAUCCAAACCCAAACGACCGAAAAGUCGUUAAACUAAACCCAAAUUCCUUGAACCAUGAACCAAAUCCAUACACCGAACCCAUGAACCAUAUCCAAGUUCAUGAACCAAAUCCAUACAUCGAACCCAUGAACCAUAUCCAAGUUCAUGAACCAAAUCCAUACACCGAACCCAUGAACCAUAUCCAAGUUCAUGAACCAAAUCCAUACGCCGAACCCAUGAACCAUAUCCAAGUUCAUGAACCAAAUCCAUACACUGAACCCAUGAACCAUAUCUCAUGAGCCAAUACUCAAAUCUCAUGAACCAAUACCCAAAUCUCAUCGUGAACCAUUUUUUUUUACUCUGGCACAUAUACCUAGAGUAAAAAUUAAAUAUCGACUACCCCUAAUACAUAUACUUAGGGCUAUGUCAAUCGCCUUGGCAUAUAUAACUAAGGCGAAACAUCUCCAAAUCGACAGAAUUCUAAGUCAUAUACUUAGAAUUCAGUAAAAUGAUAUCAACUUUAUUCGAACUCUAACAUAUAUACUUAGAGUUCAUCCGACUAACCCUAACACAUAUACUUAGGGUCUAGUCAGUCUUUUGCUCUAGCACAUAUACCUAGAGCUGAAGUCGAACCAUAUCCGACUAACCCUAACACAUAUACUUAGGGUCUAGUCAGUCUUUUGCUCUAGCACAUAUACCUAGAGUGGAAGUCAAGCCGUGCUCGACUAGUCCUAACCCAUAUAUUUAGGGUCUAGCCAGCCAUUUGCUCUAGCACAUAUACCUAGAGUGAAACCCAUACCCGAUCGAGCUCUAAUACAUAUACUUAGAGUUCAAAUCCGACUACCCCUAAUACAUAUACUUAGGGCUUAGUCAGACCUUCAUUCUAGCACAUAUAACUAGAGUGAAACUCGGUUAAUCCUGAUACAUAUACUCGGGAAUUAGCCACUCUCCACUUUCGGGUAAUUCGACCCACCUCAAUACAUAUACUUGAGGUCUGGUCACAUCUCCACCUUGGAACAUACAACCAAGGUGAAUAUAAUCGGACUCUAAGACAUAUACUUAGAGCCAGUUAGACUCUAAUACAUGGAGUUUAAUAUCGACUAGAUCUUAACACAUAUACUUAGGAUCUAGUUCGACCCACCUCAAUACAUAUACAUGAGGUCUGGUCACAUCUCCAUCUUGGAACAUAUAACCAAGGUGGACAUAAUCGGACUCUAAGACAUAUACUUAGAGCCAAUUAGACUCUAAUACAUAGAGUCUAAUAUUGACUAGAUUUUAACACAUAUACUUAGGACCUAGUCAACCUCAAAUCCAACUGAAUCCUAAUACAUAUACUUAGGAUUCAAUUUAUGUACAGUGGGGGUAUGCCCCUGCUUAAGCCAUGUAAACGGCAAAUCAUAUCAAUAAAAUUUUAUUUGCCUGUUUUGUCUCUUUUAUUAUCAGCAUUUAUAUUUGGUCUCUUAAUCGAGGGUUCCUUAACACCGAAAGUGUGGGGUAAUUAACAACAGAUUCUUGAGUCUGUUGGAAGCCAUGAACCUAUAAUCCUGAUUUCAAAAUAAAACAUAAAUAAAUUUUAUCUCUACCAUGAAUGACCACUCGCCCUAGAAACAACCUACGGCGGGGCCGGUUCGUUCGCGGCAGACAGCGGCGCAUUUCAGACUUUCCGCAGAAGCAUCACCGCAGUCCGAUGAUGAGCGGGAGUACAUGUCACAUGUUCCCUAUUCUAGUGCUGUCGGGAGUAUCAUGUACGUCAUGGUUUGCACACGGCCAGAUAUCUCCUACGCAGUGAGCAUGGUUAGCAGAUAUAUGACCAAUCCUGGUAAGGCUCAUUGGCAGGCUGUUAAGUGGAUUUUGAGAUACUUACGAGGUACCACUAGCACCUGUUUGGAGUUUGGGAGGUGUAAGGAUGGUGUGGUUGGAUAUGUUGAUUCAGAUUUUGCAGGUGAUUUGGACAGGAAGAGAUCACUUUCAGGUUAUAUAUUCUCUAUUGGCGGAUGUGCAGUUAGUUUGGAAAGCUUCACUACAACCUAUUGUCGUCUUGUCUACGACGGAGGCGGAAUAUAUUGCUAUGACAGAGGGUGUGAAGGAAGCUAUGUGGCUAAGAGGCUUAUUUGGAUAUCUUACUUCUUGUUGGAAUCCGACGAUUGUUUAUUCGGACAGUCAAAGUGCUAUUCAUUUGUCGAAAGAUCAGAUGUUUCAUGAGAGGACAAAACACAUCGAUGUAAAGUUUCACUUUGUUCGGGAUGUGAUUGGGAAACACACGGUGACUGUUAAGAAAAUUGGUACUGAGGACAAUCUGGCAGAUAUGCUUACUAAGUCCCUUACUAUUGCCAAGUUCAAGCAUUGUUUGGACUUGGUGGCAGUUAGCAGCAUUUGAGGCCCUAUGGGGCGUUUGGAGAAGGCAGAACAUGGAGCGUUAAGGAGCAUUGAGGCGAAUUAAAUUCAAGGUGGAGUUUUGUGGCGACCUCGACAUAGCGGCGGCUAAGCUACAAAUUAAACCAAGGUGGAGAUUGUUAUAUUUGGUUUAGAUUUGUAGUUAUCUAAAUUGGAGUUAAAUCCUAAUCUAAUUGGGAUUAUAUAUAAUUUAGAUUUAAUUUGGUAUAUAUGGAUUAUAAUUAGGAGUAUAAUUUUAAUUGAAUUAGAAUUAGACUCUAAUUAGGAGACAUGUAUUAUAUAUACAUGCUACGGCCAAGUUAAUGACGCCGCGACUCAAAUUAAGG